rnacentral:piRNA from 1 species
UACUUUCAUCUUUCAUUGCUUAUAUCUCA